UACGAAGGGUGCAAGCGUUACUCGGAAUUACUGGGCGUAAAGCGUGCGUAGGUGGUUUGUUAAGUCUGUUGUGAAAGCCCCGGGCUCAACCUGGGAAUGGCAAUGGAUACUGGCAAGCUAGAGUGCGGUAGAGGGUAGUGGAAUUCCCGGUGUAGCGGUGAAAUGCGUAGAUAUCUGGAGGAACACCGGUGGCGAAGGCGGCAUCCUGGACCGACACUGACGCUGAGGCGCGAAAGCUAGGGUAGCAAACGGG
rnacentral:rRNA from 1 species